rnacentral:rRNA from 1 species
GACAGAGGUGCCAAGCGUUAGGCGGAAUCACUGGGCUUAAAGCGUGUGUAGGCGGAUCGUUAAGUACCUUGUGAAAUCCCACGGCUCAACCGUGGAACUGCUGGGUAUACUGGCGGUCUUGAGCCACCUAGAGGCAACUGGAACAAGCGGUGGAGCGGUGAAAUGCGUAGAUAUCGGGAGGAACACCAGUGGCGAAGGCGGCGACCUGGGCCAAUACUGACGCUGAGGUGCGAAAGCGUGGGGAGCAAACAGG